rnacentral:rRNA from 1 species
GACGAACGCUGGCGGCGUGCUUAACACAUGCAAGUCGAACGAUGAAGCCGGAGCUUGCUCUGGUGAAUUAGUGGCGAACGGGUGAGUAACACGUGAGUAACCUGCCCUUGACUCUGGGAUAACUGCGGGAAACUGUAGCUAAUACCGGAUACGACCCUCGGAGGCAUCUCCUGGGGGUGGAAAGAAUUUCGGUCAAGGAUGGACUCGCGGCCUAUCAGCUAGUUGGUGAGGUAAAGGCUCACCAAGGCGACGACGGGUAGCCGGCCUGAGAGGGUGACCGGCCACACUGGGACUGAGACACGGCCCAGACUCCUACGGGAGGCAGCAGUGGGGAAUAUUGGACAAUGGGCGAAAGCCUGAUCCAGCGACGCCGCGUGGACGAUGAAGGCCUUCGGGUUGUAAAGUCCUUUUGCUUGGGAAAAAUCUUUGAUUGUACCAAGAGAAUAAGAGGUUGCUAACUCUGUGCCAGCCGCCGCAGUAA